GAUGGCUUGCGAGUGAUAGCACGAGCCGAAUUUAUUGCCCGUGGAAGUACCCACGAUAGGAAUACACUGUUGGGAACAUGGUGGCGCCGCUGACGGUACCUAUGUAAGUGGAAUUACUUUAUUGGAAGUACCCACGACGGGGAAAAUAGUCUCUCUAGUAUUGUCGGUGAAUGGUGAUGGUGGUGGUGGCGAUGGCUACUUUCCUCUGCUCAGAGAGAACCCCUGCAUGUCCUUCGUCGUGAUGCGAAAGAGCAGUGGAUGCAGAAAAUGUCUCUACCUGCCAGGAUGGUAUAAGAGCACGAACUGAAUCACCUGUUGGUGCAGAAGGCUUGGAGGACUGCUUUUGAAACAGUUGUUCAAAUUUCCUGCACCUCUUCGUAGCCGUUGUCUGAUUGCUGCAUUCUGGGGAGACUGAAGUUAAGUAUUAUCAAUUUAUCAUGCCUAUACAAGCCUUGCCAG